rnacentral:tRNA from 1 species
GUUUCUGUAGUGUAGUGGUCAUCACGUUCGCCUAACACGCGAAAGGUCCUCGGUUUUAAACCGAGCAGAAACA